rnacentral:miRNA from 1 species
GCCGGGCAGUGGUGGCACAUGCUUUU